AGCGCAGGCGGACUUGUGUGUCGGACGUGAAAUACCGGGGCUUAACCCCGGUGCUGCGUCCGAAACUACGAGUCUAGAGACUUGGAGGGGUAAGCGGAAUUCUUGGUGGAGCAGUGAAAUGCGUAGAUAUCAAGAGGAACACCAACGGCGAAGGCAGCUUACUGGACAAGAUCUGACGCUCAGGCUCGAAAGCGUGGGGAGCAAAAGG
rnacentral:rRNA from 1 species